CACACACACACACACACUCUCAUACCCUCUCUCUCACUAAACUCUUCUCUCUAAUAUCACCAGCAACCAUCCUCCAUCCUAACUCCACCCUUUUCUCCCUUCAAAGCCGCCACCCUCCAUUAAAACCUGAAACUUGACCUCCAAAUAAAAAUCCAAACACUAACCCUAACCGAUCGCCCACCCAAUUACUUGUUGGGAGUCACCUUGAUCAGAUCUGGUUGAAGGGGAGCGGUGGUGGCGAGAAGGAGGGUGAACAACGGGGAUACUCCAACUUGUUCCAGCGAGAUCUGGAGGUGUUCGGACAUAACGACGGGUUGACGGCGGUUGUUCUGGUGGAGACGGAGUGGAUUUGGACACAACGACGGUGGCAAAUCUAGAAGGAGAUCCAUCUUUAGAUCUUAACUAGGGUUGUCAAAAAGCUCGCAGCUCGGAGCUCGCUCGGAUUUAGCUCGGAAAAAGCUCGCUUGGCAUGGCUCGGUUUGAAAGUGAGCCGAGCCAGCUCGGCUCGGCUCGUAACGAGCCGACUUGGCUUGGUUUGGCUCGCUUGGUAACUCAGCUCCGCUUAGUUCGGAUUAUUUUCUUCAUAAUAUAUUUAUUUUUAUAUACAUUAUAAUAUAUUACAAAAAAACCUGUUAUUAUUUAUAUAUAUUUAGGCUUGUAAUUUGAUAUCCAUGGCAUAUUUGAAUCUUAAUUACCUUUGAGUUGUCAAGACGAAAAUGAACUGUUUGAACCCUUUGACGCUCAAGUUAGCAUAUGAUCGUUGUAGAUCUACAAGCAUGUGCCUAUAUGUAGGGUAUAUGAGGGAAUUCGAGGAAUGCUAGAGAUUAGAGAAAGAGAGAGAGAGAGAGGAGAUGGAAAUGAGCUGGUUUGUAAUGCUCAGGUAAUUAACAAUUUUUACAAUUACUCCCUUCCUAUGAUUAUUAGAAAUGAUGGUUGAGGCAUUCAGGUGAACUACUACAUGUGCCGUUGGUUUUCUUUGAAAUGGAUUACUUGUCAUGUUCUAGGGGUAUGCCAUAUUAGAUUUCAAAAAUGGAUUGAUCAUGAUGAAUUUCUGUUAUUACCACCUAAAGACACUUGCUAUUAUAGAUAAAGAAAAAUGGAUAAUCGCCUGGGUCGAUAUGGAUUUGCGAAGAUGGUUGGGUCACCCGAGAUGAUGUAAGGCUUGCAUUGGGGAUAUUAGGAGCACUUUGUGAGCAGUUAGUUGUCCGACAGAUUCAUCUUAGAGAAGAUGUCGUCUCCCUUGGGUGUUCUUUUUGUUUGAGUCUCGGCCUGAGGCUCUAGUUCAGAUUGCAUCAUUAGCCAUUAAAACUGGAAAUGGGCUCCUACUGAAUGGAGGAAAGGAAGGAAACAGCUCUAACGCAAUCUUGCACAAGAUUAUUACUUCAUGCAUAAAGAGUUGGUAAAGGGUUAAUUGUCCUUGUUACUUCCAGAGACGAGAUUCCCGAAUUGCUCAAGAUGUGGCACGACACAAGAGAAGCUACGGAUAAUGAUAUAGAUUUUUUGUUGAUGAUGUUGCCAAAAUUUUUCUAGUGAGUUAGGUAUUUCGUUAGUUUAGCUUAUAUAAGAUUAUAUGUAGUUUAUUUAUGGAAUUUAAUGUAGUUUGUUAUGCAUUCAACAAAGGAUUGUAAUUUGACGGGUUUGUUUUCGAAUUGAAUGUGUAUUGGGUUGAUUAGAAAA